rnacentral:misc_RNA from 1 species
GAUGAAGAACGUAGCGAAAUGCGAUACGUAAUGUGAAUUGCAGAAUUCAGUGAAUCAUCGAAUCUUUGAACGCAUAUUGCGCUCUCUGGUAUUCCAGAGAGCAUGCUUGUUUGAGUAUCAGUAAACACCUCAACUUCCAUAUCUUUUUUGAAAUGGGAGUUGGACUUGAGUGAUCCCAACGCUUUUCCUCACCGAAAAGUGGCGGGUUACUUGAAAUGCAGGUGCAGCUGGACUUUUCUCUGAGCUAUAAGCAUAUCUAUUUAGUCUGCCUAAAAAACAGAUUAUUACCUUUGCUGCAGCUAACAUAAAGGAGAUUAGUUCUUGUGCUGACUGAUGCAGGAUUCACAAAGACGGCUUCGGCCGACUUUGUAAACUCGAUCUCAAAUCAAGUAAGACUACCCGCUGAACUUAAGCAUAUCAAUAAGCGGAGGA